rnacentral:lncRNA from 1 species
AUACGCUUCUCUUAUUUCUGAACAAGAGGCAAGAGAAAAUAAAAUAAAAUAAAAUUCAGUCAGUUUAAAUCCACCACACACAAGAAAACUUUAUCUUAAAAAUGGUCCUUACCUAAUACCGACUUUACUAGUGAUGAGGAAAAUCAAGUUUCGAUUUUGCGUAAUCUGAUUUGUUUUCCGUUUGUGUGAAUCUGCUUAAAGAAAAUGAAAUUCCUAAUUGAUUGGUCAAAAAAAAAUAAAUGACUAUUAAAUUUCCCACCUUGAGCUGGGUACAGUUUUUAUCAAACAAUUAGCGAGUUCUUUUUGGUCAUUUAAUUUCAGAUAUGAAGAGUAGAUCAAAUUCUGAGUUUUUUGAAGGUUGAUUUAGCGAUUCAUAUGGAAUUUUCCUUACAGCGUCAAAUUUAAGGUAUGUUUUCCUGCAUCUACUCCUUUUGAGGAUUUUACCAUGCGAUCUGCUAAUUUCUCUAUUGCUCUUAAAAUAUUUAGUCCUUCUUGUAAGCUUUAGGGUUUUUCUGUCACGGAUCUAAUGUGAUAUGGUGUUCAUCAAUGAUCUGUGAUCCACCCAGGACGAGUUUCCCAUGACUACUGCUAAUUUUACAUUACAAUCUCUCCUGGAGGUGUUUUAAUCAGAGAAAGUUAAUUACGGCGUAAUUAGAAUUUAAAUAAAAGUAGUAUGAGUUACAACUUUUAUAGUUAAAUUGUUGUAGAAAUUGAUUUAAAAAAAACAAAAAACUGGUUGAUUCAACUCCUAAGGCCAAAGCAGUGUUUCCAUCUGAUUUACCAAUGACAGUAGAUAGUAUGUAAACAUGUACAGAAAUCAUCAAUCCUUUCGGGAUUUUGGAACACGGGUUUGACUCCGUUUGAGACUGAGGCAUACUAGUUAUUGUUGACAUGUCACAGGUUUCAUAAAAGGAAAUAACGAGUUCUUAGGUUGUUUACGUUCAGUGCCUCGUGAAAAUAAGUGGAAGAUCUAAUGGAUUGGGAAGGAUCUUCUUACUCCCUUCAAAGUGCAUAGGUUGGCAAAAGAGGUACUUAUGAUGCUGCUGAAGCAUCUUGUUACCAACAACGGUCACUACCAUUUUGUAGUUUGGUCAUGUCGAAAAUUUCCAUGAUGUUUUGGCAUCAUAUAUUUCCUUGAUUUGUCUCACCUCAUUUAAAUAAAACUGAAUGCUGUGUUUUACAUGAGGGAAUAGCAAACACUUUUCACUUUUGAUCUAUUUUUUCCUAGUUAGUUCUUUAAGCCUAUGCUUUCCUGGGAUUGAGUGAUUCAAUAGAUUUAUGUUUCUUGCUAGCACUAAAUGAGGAAGACUACAUGUGGGAUUUUUGUGAAUAUAUUUUUGGCACUGUCAUUCUGAAAGCUAAGAGGGAACGGGGUUCUUAACUAAGAUGGAGCUUGUAUGAGUAAAUUUUAUGAAUCUUAUUUGAUUUUUGUUGCACACAGGAAAGAACUGAAGGUAAAGUGAAAAAUGUUAAAGUGGCUCAAUAACAUGCUUGAUACCAAUCAACAAAUUCUCUUAGAACAGGAUUAGUUUAUCGGUAUCAUAGACUUCAAAGGCCCAGUCAUUCCAGUAUUUGAGAAAUUGAAGUUUGUCCAGACUAAUUCGGAAACCUGGAAACUGAAGUCCCGUUGUUACCAUGACAAGUUGGGUCCAACAAGGAGGUUUUCAAAUUGAACUGCAUUAAAAGUGAAAGGUAUGGAUUCUUCGUGCAAACAAUACAGGUUAAGUCAACGGUACAAUUAGCAUUCAUAAGAAAAGGCAUAUGCUCAAUAGAGUGCUCAACAGAAGGGGGCAUGUCAUUAAGCAGCAACAGUGACCCAAACAAAACUUUGAUCCAGGUUUUUAACCUUUGAAAUGAGUCUUGAAAACUACCGUAUCCCAUUAGCACUUCUCUUUUUCUCACAAGUUAAACAACUCAGGUGAAGUGAACUAUGGAAUAUGGAGCAAGUACUGCCACCAGGCAUUUGGCAUCAAAAAGAGCAAAAUUCUGAGAAAAGAAGUCUCGUAGCAGCCUCUCAAGUUGGAAGAGCUAGUUUCUCUUUUCCAUGUUGUAGGAGGUUCCACUAAAGUUCAGGUAUAUGUUAUCUUUUGCCCUUGCAGAGGCAGUUAUUGAAUCUUCUUUGCUGAUGUUUUACUAGUGUGGCUUAAUGAUUUUUGAGUUCUAAUUUGUCAUUUGAGGCUAUGGACCAUUGAACCACCAUACAAUCUAAUAUUGUCAGUUGAUUUGCAUGAAGUAAAGAGCAUUUUGCCUUAUCUUUAUUUUAUUUUUUCAAAACUGGUGAUUCAGUAAAUCUGAAUUUGGUUGAGUUGCAUUACUUUAAUCAAUAUUUUGGCAGUUACAAAUUUGUGCUGAUUGUCUUUUCAUAUUGACCCAAAAUAAGGUAGAAGUGGUGUUCACUUCAGCAGAGCUAGGGAAUAGUAACAAUGUAAAAG